GCCAGUUUGUGUAUGCGUUCACGCGACGAACCGGCGAAUAAAACCGAUGGUAAUCAUUGAGUAAUAAAAAUGCAAUUCUACGGGGAGAAGGAGAGCAAAACCAACGGCGAUUUCCUAUUUCCAGACCACACAAUUUCUCGUCAAAUGCAGUUUGCGUGGAUAUCAAUUAUUCUAAAGACGAUUGAGUGAGAGUUUUCUCGUUUUGUAGGCGCUGCACACGCCUUGCUUGAUUAUACCAUCUGUCAAUCGUGUACAAUGCGCAAAGGGCGUGAAACGAAGUCUAAAUAAAGCGAGCGACGGCGCGAAGACUAAAGACCGACUAAAGACCUUCCAACCCCCUUUGUUUCCACAAACACAAGUGAGCAUUACUGAGAAUUCCAUCGGCAAGUGAUGAGUUGAAAACGAAAUGCCGAAAUUCGAAUGGCAAACAGCGCAAAUUGUAAACGUUGCUUUCAGAGACGAAAAGAAACAAAGACGGCGAUGAAAGCACAAAUAAAAUACAAAGAAACAAAUAUUAUUUGUUAAAUAUUUUAUUUUUGAAGAAUUUUUAAUUAAUUUUAAAUUAAAAUUUUGAUAUUU